CGCUGCUCCGACCGCCUCCCGGGGCGGGGCGGGGGGACCGCGGUGUGUGCCGGUGCUCCCGCAGCGCCCGGUGUUCGCUCCGCCGCCGCCGCCGCCGCCAUGUACCUGUGCAGGGCCGCCUCGCAGGCGCUGGCCGCUCGCCUCAGCCGGGCUCCCUCGGCGGCGGGCCGCCUCCAGCACCGCGCACCGCUUCGCCAGAUGUCAUCUGGGAGUGUUCCUGGCUCUUCUGGAGAGAACAUGAUUUACUAUCUCCUUGCUGGCGUUGCUGCUUUUGGUGGUUUAUUUUAUACCUACAGAACAGUUGGUUCCUCCCGCAGCAACUACAUUGAGCAUAUGCAUAUUCUUCAGGAGAGAGCUGAAGGGCGGAAAAGCGCGUACAGGUCAGGCAAGGGUGAUGAAGAGGAAGCAGCUGAAGCCGCUGGAGAAGACACGGCCACGGAAGAAGCUGAUGCAUUAGCUGCUGCUGGACCUGCAGCACAGGAUGAGAGUUCUGGGGUGUCCCCAGAAGCUGGAGGGGAGAGUGACUUACCAGCUGCGGAUGCACCCCCUGCUGUGGAGGGAGCACAGCAGGAAGCUGCUGCUAAUUCAGAAGUUGCUGCUAAUUCAGAAGCUGCUGCAGCGCAAGAAACUGUGAGUGAAGUCUUGGAUGUUGCAGCUUCUUCUGACCAUGAGGAAAACUUUGACAGUGUCAAGGAAGGAGUAGCCUCAGCAGCUCAAGAGAUGUCUGACACAGCCUCAAGGAACCAGGACGCUGAUGCUGAGGAGUCGGGGCAGACUUCAGAAGGUAUACCAUACAAUGUUUCUCACUAGCAUUUUGUCUCCGUUUUCAGUUUCUGUGGACAAGGAGACCCCCGAAGAAAUUGCUAAGGAACCCUAAAGUGAGCGGCACUGAAGCCCUUGAAAAGUUCAAUGGAAAUAUUUAUGGCAAUCAACCAGCCGAUUCCUGUGUGAAACCUCAUACUCCUCCCUGAAGACAUAAAACAAUCCGUGCAGUUUGUCACACCGCACGCUACUUACUAGGACCAGUAUUCAUUGCUGCAACAGACAACCUAAUAUGAAUUAAGUUGGCUAGGCAGACACUUCUGUAAUUAACAUCUCUGCUUUAGAAAGUAGCACCCGGUAACAAGUGUCAAAGUACCACCCAGCAUGUAACGAUAACUAGAUGUACUAAGAGAAGCAGUAGGCAUAACUGAAUCCGUGUCAGGUGAACUUGUUUUAGCUCUUGGCUGUCUAGGUGUUUACUUUGAUUUCCUACUUCUGGUCCAAACUGUGGUGCACAAUUAUACCAUUGUAACAUUCCACACGGAGUAAAAAGUUUUAACUAAGCUAAAACCUUAUAAAAACUACCUGGUAGUAUUUUUACAUUGGGUCACGGGGGGAAAUAACAACCUUGUUUGCUCCUAAGAUUUGGAUUUGCAAUUUUUACCAUAGGACAUUUGGCUCUACGAAAUCUGAUUUUCCUCCUGCGUGAACAUUGUAGAUGCUAUCCUUCCUUGCACAAUAGUAGCCAGGAGAAAACAUUUGUAAAGCUCCUGCUCUGAGAACAAGAACUGUGUGCACGCAGUAGCAAUAAGGACUUUAUCGCAAAUUACGGAAACCAAGAAAAUCAAAGCAAGGCUGGCUGGAGCUACCAUUGUUGAUCCAAGCGGUGGCUCCUGCCCUGGGGGUGCUGGGCCCCGUUCCUACCAAGCCUCAUUCAGCUUGCUGUAGUCUUUGUGUCGUUCUGUCUUAGCAGCGACACUGCAGCAGUGGCAUAACACAACAGAGGAUUGAAAGAACGCUCUUGUAUGAACCGGGAGCAACUCAGGCUCUGGUUAAGCUCCUCUGAGAGCCGGCAGGUGGCCAGCAAAAUCCCCAGGGAAGGCUACGGCAGAGGUGUUCAGAUGGACAAGGGUUCCUAGGGACUAAUGAAAAGCAGAAUGGCUAUGGAAGCUCAGAACAAGCUGUUAUCUGACAAAAUACUCUCCCCCAGAGAGGGGCAUGUUGGAACCUGGGCUAACUGUGAAACAGACCAUAGAAAAGUAGCUACCAGGGCCUUUGCAGGCCAGUGGCCUUUUUCACUCUUUCUCAAAAUGUACAGCCACUAAAUAAUCUUGCCUUGUUAGCAUUAAUAAUGAAAAAAUCUAUAAUGAAUAAUUAGUUUGUAAGCCUGUGUUCUCCUAACCCUCCAUUCUGCUUUAUGCAUGCACGUGCGUGAGUGUCUAUUAAAAAGUAUUUACGGAGGUUCCCAUCAGCUAAAAGCAUUACAGCCAUCGUGAAUGGCAACAGUUCUAAGUGAGGCCCAAAUAAGAUAUAUUAUAAACAAUUUCUAUAGAAACUGUGAACUAAAAGAUGUAUCUGUCUGCUUUCUCUUCAAGCAGAACUUUGGAAAGAUGCUGAAGGGGAAAUUAUGGCAUUUUAAAAUUCCCACCCUUGCACAAAGAAACUCAUGCUCCUCCACCUGUCACAAAGCAAAUUAUAACACUGCUCCAACAAGAAUAUGGACUAUUGUCCCUGCACCUGCUUGUAAGAAUGACCGGAAUAAUGCUGAAGCAAAAUCAGGCUCCUGAGCUUCAAGAAGCCCUUCCAUAGCCUUCUACUUAGAGGAUAAAGGCACUGCGAUUAAGAGCAAUUUUUUUUUGUAGACAAAGCUACGGGAAUAAAACUCUUAGACUGAUAUUUUGUUGGAUGUCUGUCUAUAUUUAUCCGGUAGAGUAAAUAUUCUAUGAUGGAUGGUUACUCUUAAAUGUUAUUUUUUAUUUCUUCAUUUUCAAAAAUUCCCAGUGAAAAAAGCUCUAAUUUCUACAGCUGGCUGUAGGGUUUCUGAAACUGUAGGAUUUCCUGACCGUCCCUUUGUCUCAGGAAUUGCUUGAGUAUUGAGCAAAAUGUAUUAGCCCAUGGGAACAGUUGCAUGAAGAAUUGAAGCACAACCUUCGGGAUGCUUUCCAAAGCAAUCUUCCCAAUUUCAAAAAAAAAGAAAAAAAGUAAUAGUCCCAGGAUAACCUGUACGUAUGCUUCAUGUCAGGGAUCCCCUUUAAGAAGAAAAUGAACAAACAAACAAACCACAUCCAAAACCCAAAAGACACUCACUGCUCUUUAAGGCCAAGGAAACUAGGAAUGCAUCAUGAACUUUAGCUGUGAUGACACAGAGCACAACACAGUCUGCUUCAACACUUAAUUAUCCCAGAUUAACAGCCGAGAGAUUUUGUAAUGUGCAGAGGGCUGCUGUGCAGAAAUAAAUAGGCAAUUACUGCAUGCAAAAUGCCUUGCUGCUUUCUCAGAUAUUCUUUUUCUUACUGCUUUAGGUGCUCCCUGGUGAUCAUUGAUCACUUUUAUCAGUCAUGUUAGCAUGCAGCCUAAUUACCGCAAAGAUGAAUAUUUUUCUGUUCCUUCACCUCCAGAAAAGUGACUUUUUGAGCUGCAACACAAAGGCUGUGAUGAAGCGUAGAAAAUGGUGAGGAGGAGCUCAUUAAGGAGAACAAGAUUACAGCAGAUGUUAGAGGGAGAUGACAAGAUUAAAGGAGAUGGGGAAAAAGUUGUGUUUGA